UUUAAGGCUUACAGUAAAGCUACAAGACAGUGUGGUGGUGGAGAAGAGCUGCACAUAUAAAUCAGUAGAAUAGGAUAAAGUCCAGAAAUAGACCCAUACAUAAAUGGUCAAUUCAUUUUUGACAAGGCAAUUUAAUGGAGAAAGGAAAUUAUUUUCAGCAAACCAUGCUAAAACAACUAGGUUUCCGUAUAGAGAAAAAAAUGAGCCUCGCUUAAAAGGAUCGUAGACCUAAAUGUAAAAGCUAAAACUGUAAAACCUAUAAGAGCUUUCCAGUGUGGAGUCUGGAGACAACGUGCAGAAAUGGCAUCUCGAAAGGGGAAGGAAAAGAAGGAAGAACAGGUCAUCAGCCUCAGACCUCAGGUGGCUGAAGGGGAGAAUAUAUUUGGUGUCUGCCAUAUAUUUGCAUCCUUCAAUGACACUUUUGUCCAUGUCAUGGAUCUUUCUGGCAAACAAACCGUCACCAUGUGACUGGUGGGAUGAAGGGGAAAGCAGACCGAGAUGAAUCCUUGCUAUGUUGGCUACCCAGGAUGUGGCCCAGAGGUGCAAGGAGCUGGGUAUCAUUGCCCUACACAUCCAACUCCGAGCCACAGGAGGAAAUAGGACCAAGACCCUUGGACCUGGGGCCCAGUUGGCCCUCAGAGUCCUUGUCUGCUCUGGUAUGAAGAUCAGGAGAAUUGAGGACUCCACCCCCAUCCCCUCUGACAGCACUCACAGGAAUGGGGGUUGCCAUGGUCGCCGUCUGUGAACAAGACUCCUCAAAAUAUUUUCUGUUAAUAAAUUGCCUUCAUGUAAAAAAAAAAAUAAAGUAAAACCUGUAA